UACGUAGGGGGCAAGCGUUGUCCGGAUUUAUUGGGCGUAAAGAGCGUGUAGGCGGCCAGACAGGUCCGUUGUGAAAACUAGAGGCUUAACCUCUAGACGUCGAUGGAAACCGUUUGGCUAGAGUCCGGAAGAGGAGAAUGGAAUUCCUGGUGUAGCGGUGAAAUGCGCAGAUAUCAGGAAGAACACCCGUGGCUAAGGCGGUUCUCUAGUACGGUACUGACGCUUAGACGCGAAAGCGUGGGGAGCGAACAGG
rnacentral:rRNA from 1 species